rnacentral:rRNA from 1 species
CAGCCGCCACGGUAAUACGAAGGGUGCAAGCGUUACUCGGAAUUACUUGGCGUAAAGCGUGCGUAGGUGGUGGUUUAAGUCCGUUGUGAAAGCCCUGGGCUCAACCUGGGAAUUGCAGUGGAUACUGGGUCACUAGAGUGUGGUAGAGGAUAGUGGAAUUUCCGGUGUAGCAGUGAAAUGCGUAGAGAUCGGAAGGAACAUCUGUGGCGAAGGCGACUAUCUGGGCCAACACUGACACUGAGGCACGAAAGCGUGGGGAGCAAACAGGAUUAGAUACCCCAGUAGUCCCUGUCUCUUAUAC